rnacentral:lncRNA from 1 species
GAGGGUGGGGGAGCUGCGCUCUGUGCUGCGGAGGCUGGACUCGGCCAACAGGGCUCUGGAGACAUGUAUUCAGUCACUUGGGGAAUGUCAGAAAACACUCCAAAAAUCAAUUCAGUGUCAGAACUACUUAAAUCACAGUAUCUAGCCUAUCAAAGCUGCAUUUGUGCCAAAUGAAGAUACUAGAACUGUUUCUGCAGCAAUUUAACUCUUCAUCUGUCACAGCAAUGUGUAGGAGUCAAAUUAUAAGUAUAUUCAUAUUUGUGUAUAAUUAACAUCAAACAUGCAAUAGAUGAAUUGAAACUGAACUUUUUCUCAAUUUCUGGAUGACUUUGUGUAGAGGGGAAUGUUAUCUUAAUUGUAGAAGAGUUGCAACUUGUAAUAAUUGAAUUUCC